rnacentral:pre_miRNA from 1 species
UUUGUACUCCCUCUGUCCCAAAAUUCUUGUCUUAAAUUUGUCUAAAUAUGGAUGUAUCUAGUUACAUUUUAGUGUUAGAUACAUUCGUAUCUAAACAAAUGUAAGACAAGAAUUUUGGGACGGAGGGAAUACUAC